GUCGGAGCCUCGGCGGCGGCGGCGGUGCUUACAGCCUGAGAAGAGCGUCUCGCCCGGGAGCGGCGGCGGCCAUCGAGACCCACCCAAGGCGCGUCCCCCUCGGCCUCCCAGCGCUCCCAGGCCGCAGCGGCCGCGCCCCUUCAGCUAGCUCGCUCGCUCGCUCUCCUUCCCUGCUGCCGGCUGCGCCAUGGCGUUGGCGUUGGCGGCGCUGGCGGCGGUCGAGCCGGCCUGCGGCAGCCGGUACCAGCAGCUGCAGAAUGAAGAAGAGUCUGGAGAACCUGAACAGGCUGCAGGUGAUGCUCCUCCACCUUACAGCAGCAUUUCUGCAGAGAGCACAGGUAGGUAACAGGGCAAGGUGAUCACGGAAUCCUUAAAAACACUCUGUGCUUUGACAUUACAGUUUAAAAAAAAAAAAGCCUCAGAAGCAGUUGCAAGAAAGGUUACAAAGCAAGUCUGGAUUUUAAAUAAUUGGGAAGUGGAUACAUUUAAAAAUCACCCCCAGUUUAUUACAUUCAUCUAAGAAUGUCUUUUGGUUCAAUUGUUAUAUAUUAAUUGGCUUUGUAUGAGCAAGAGUUUGUGAAGGG
rnacentral:sRNA from 1 species